rnacentral:rRNA from 1 species
GCCGAAAAUCUAAGGUUUCCUGGGGAAGGCUCGUCCUCCCAGGGUAAGCCGGGAGCUAAGGCGAGGCCGAAAGGCGUAGUCGAUGCACAUACGGUUGAAAUUCCGUAGCCUCCGAAACUGUUAAACGCACUGACACAUUGACCUAGCUGAACCCGGGCGUUGGUAGCCCCGGGCGAAAGGGACCGAAACAAAGUAGGGAAGUCGGCGAUGGUCAGUGGCGAGAAAAGGUGCGCGUAUUGGUUAGGAGCCCGUACCGUAAACCGACACAGGUGGAUGAGGAGAGAAUCCUAAGGCCAGCGGGAGAAGGGUUGUUAAGGAACUCGGCAAAUUGACCCCGUAACUUCGGAAUAAGGGGAGCUCAUGAAAGUGAGCCGCAGAGAAUAGGCCCAAGCAGCUGUUUACCAAAAACAUAGGUCUAUGCUAAAUCGAAAGAUGACGUAUAUGGGCUGACGCCUGCCCGGUGCCGGAAGGUUAAGAGGAGGGCUUAGCGCAAGCGAAGGUCUGAAUUGAAGCCCCGGUAAACGGCGGCCGUAACGAUAACGGUCCUAAGGUAGCGAAAUUCCUUGUCAGGUAAGUUCUGACCCGCACGAAAGGCGUAAUGAUUUGGGCACUGUCUCAACAGCCCGCCCGGUGAAAUUGUAGUACCGGUGAAGAUGCCGGUUACCCGCAACUAGACGGAAAGACCCCAUGGAGCUUUACUGUAGCUUAAUACUGAGGAUUGGUAAGUCAUGUACAGGAUAGGUGGGAGACGAGGAAGCAAAGCCGUCAGGUUUUGUGGAGUCACCCUUGGGAUACCAGCCUUGAUUUGCUGGUUUUCUAACCUGCGGCCAUGAAUCUGGUCGGGGGACACUGUUAGGUGGGCAGUUUGACUGGGCGGUCGCCUCCAAAAAGGUAACAGAGGCGCUCAAAGGUUGGCUCAGCACGGACGGAAAUCGUGCAUAGAGUGCAAACGCGAAGCCAGCCUGACUGCGAGAGAGACAUUUCGAGCAGGAACGAAAGUUGGAGUUAGUGAUCCGGCGGUAUGAGAGUGGAAUUGCCGUCGCUCAACGGAUAAAAGCUACCCUGGGAUAACAGGCUGAUCUCCCCCAAGCGUCCACAGCGACGGGGAGGUUUGGCACCUCGGUGUCGGCUCGUCACAUCCUGGGGCUGAAUUCGGUCCCAAGGGUUCAGCUGUUCGCCGAUUAAAGUGGCACGCGAGCUGGGUUCAGAACGUCGUGAGACAGUUCGGUCCCUAUCUGUUGCGGGCGUAAGAGAUUUGAAGGGAGCUGUCCUUACGAGAGGACCGGGAUGGACGUACCUCUGGUGCACCAGUUGUUCUGCCAAGGGCACAGCUGGGUAGCUAUGUAUGGACUGGAUAAACGCUGAAAGCAUCUAAGCGUGAAGCCACCCCUAAGAUAAGAUCUCUCAUCCUUCGGGAGUAAGACACCAUGUAGACUAUGUGGUAGAUAGGCCAGAGGUGGAAGCGUUGCGAGACGUGUAGCUGACUGGUACUAAUCAGUCGAGGGCUUGACCAG